CAGCAGCAAUCUGACACAUGGA
rnacentral:miRNA from 1 species